UAGGUCAUGCUGGUAGUUUCACC
rnacentral:miRNA from 1 species